rnacentral:lncRNA from 1 species
CUAAUGGAACUGCAACCAAAGGGAAUCAAUAUAGAGUGCCAAGGCUCUCCCUAGACGGGCUCCGGUUGUAGUUGGUUUACAGGUUAACACAUUUAGUGGUAGCUUGUUUACAUGUAACCACAAUUUAGUUGUAGUUUUGUUCUUCUCCAGUUGAACAGGAACGUCUUCACCAGGAGGAGAAUGAGAGGAGGGAGGAGGAGAACAGAAGGGUGGAGGGGAUGGAGGAGGGCGAGAGGGAGGAAUAUCUACACAGGAGGCAGGAGGAAGAUGAGGAGAGGAGGCAGGCGGAGAAGGAGAGGAGGAGGAGGGAGGAGGAGGCUGCUCUUUCGGCCCUAGAGGAAGCCCGACGCAGUGGGGCGCUCUUUGCCAGACAGAGGGCGCUGUUGGAGCAGCAGCUGUCCUUUAAACGGGGUCUCCUGCUCGAGGCUGAGGGGCUGGAUACCGGACAGGAUGUCUCCAGACCUUGGGUCUACUCCUACUUGGCCCUCCUGGACCUCCUGGGACUCCCCAAGCCUGACCCAGCGGAGCCUGACCUUUAACCUCUCGGCUCUGUUUUGACACCAACCAGCUUCUAAUGAAACUAGAGACUGAACACUGCUGUUUUCAGUCUAUGUUCUCCAGUAGCUAGCCUUAAGUUUAGCAUGCUAGGUAGCAAGGCUCAGGGAGCAAGUAAACUGUGUAUGUAGACAUUAGCCUUUAGUUUAGCAUGCUAGUUAGCAGGCUAAGAGAGCAAAUAGACUGUGCAGUCAUUAGCCUUUAGUUUAGAAUGCUAGGUAGCAAGGCUCAGAGAGCAGAUCGACUGUGUAGACAUUAGCCUUUAGUUUAGCUUGCUAGGUAGCAAGGCUUAGAGAGCCGAUAGACUGCAGACAUUAGCCUUUAGUUUAGCAUGCUGGGUAGCAAGGCUCAGAGAGCAAUUAAACAGUGUUGACAUUAGCCUUUAGUUUUGCAUGCUAGGUAGCAGGCUAAGAGAGCAGAUAUAAUUUGAGGACAUUAGCCUUUAGUUUAGCAUUCUAUGUUGCAAGUCUCAGUGGGCAGAUAGACUGUAGACAUUAGCCUUUAGUUUUGAAUGCCAGGUAGCAAGGCUCAGAGAGCAGAUAGACUUUGCAGACAUUAGCCUUUAGUUGACCCUGCUAGAUAGCAAGGCUCAGAGAGCAGAUAGACUGUGUAGAGUUAAUGUGCCAUCCUAGUAAUGUCUAUAAUAUUUCCUGCUUCACAAAUAAAGUUAAUUGAAGAAAAUGAAA